AUUGAACGCUGGCGGCAGGCCUAACACAUGCAAGUCGAGCGAACCUAGCUUGCUAGGUGAGCGGCGAACGGGUGAGUAACGCGUAGGAAUCUGCCUGGUAGUGGGGGACAACGUUCCGAAAGGAACGCUAAUACCGCAUACGCCCUACGGGGGAAAGCAGGGGAUCUUCGGACCUUGCGCUAUCAGAUGAGCCUGCGUCGGAUUAGCUAGUUGGUAGGGUAAAGGCCUACCAAGGCGACGAUCCGUAACUGGUCUGAGAGGAUGAUCAGUCACACCGAAACUGAGACACGGUCCGGACUCCUACGGGAGGCAGCAGUGGGGAAUAUUGGACAAUGGGGGCAACCCUGAUCCAGCCAUGCCGCGUGUGUGAAGAAGGCCUUCGGGUUGUAAAGCACUUUAGGUCGGGAGGAAGGUUCGCUAGCUAAUAUCCAGCGGAAUUGACGUUACCGACAGAAUAAGCACCGGCUAACUCCGUGCCAGCCGCCGCAGUAA
rnacentral:rRNA from 1 species